rnacentral:misc_RNA from 1 species
UCCGGUUUGACACCGGCAGUCUCCCUAGAGUGCCCGGCUUUACCCGCUGGUAACUAGGGGCAAGGGUUGCGCUCGUUGCGGGACUUAACCCAACAUCUCACGACACGAGCUGACGACAGCCAUGCAGCACCUGUGUCCAGGUUCCCUUUCGGGCACCCCUGCAUUUCUGCAGGGUUCCUGGCAUGUCAAGGGUAGGUAAGGUUUUUCGCGUAGCAUCGAAUUGAACCACAUACUCCACCGCUUGUGCGGGCCCCCGUCAAUUCCUUUGAGUUUCAGUCUUGCGACCGUACUCCCCAGGCGGAAUGCUUAAAGCGUUAGCGACGGCACCCGGGGACUAUAUAACCCCAGACACCAAGCAUUCAUCGUUUAAGGCUAGGGCUAC